UAACUCUGGUUUCCUUCAAAACGCAUAAAUCUUUCGCCUUUUACUAAAGAUUUCCGUGGAGGGGAACAACUCAAUGAGUCUAAUAUAAUUUUUAUUGGCCCACCUGGUGGGCU
rnacentral:snRNA from 1 species